UCAAGUGGUAGAUUUAUAGGCGGGGGAGUCACAAGACCAAGAACUCGAAUGGUAACACAGUAUCGGAUCUAGUGACCGGCAGUCCACCAGAAGGUUACUCGAGUGUAGAUUUAUAGGCGGGGGAGAUCGCAAGACUAAGAACUCAAAUGGUAACACAGAGACGCGAGAUUUAGACAGGUUCGGGCUCCGGAGAGUAAUACGCUACAUUCUGUGUUCUGGUGGAUUGUAUUGCUGAUCGCGAGUGCGAAUGGUUUAUGUUAGAUGAGUUGUGGUGAGUUACCCUCAUGGGGUGUCCCUAGCCGCCUUAUAUAAAUUUACGAUCGAGAGUUACAAGUGCGAUAGAAUCUAAUCCUAGUAAGUUAUUAUAUGAAAAGCAAUCUGAGUCGGUUUACAAUAAGUAUCCCAUGAUAUUCGAGCUAAAUUGAUUCGCCCGACCUCCUAACUGGUAUUCCAUGCGUCUUCAUGCCUUGGCCCGCACGGCAUGGUCUAACGGGUCUAUUUAUCAGGACCGACCAUUAUCCUGAUUGGUGGGAACAUUUGGAUACCCUUAUCCUCAUCAGUGUUGUAUUUAGGGCCUGUUUGGCUCCAACCUGUUAAAGUUUAACACCCAUCACAUCGGAUUUGGAUGCUAAUUAGAAGUAUUAAAUAUAGACUAAUUACAAAACUAAUUGCACAGUUGGAGUGUAAUUCGCGAGACGAAUCUAUUAAGCCUAAUUAGUCCAUGAUUUGACAAUGUGGUGCUACAACAACCAUUUGCUAAUGGUGGAUUAAUUAGGCUUAAUAGAAUCGUCUCGCGAAUUAACAUAAGGUUCUGCAAUUAAUUUUAUAAUUAGCUCAUGUUUAUUUCUUCUAAUUAUCAUCCGAAUAUCGGAUGUGACAC
rnacentral:lncRNA from 1 species